UCAGGGCACAAACCCACCUUAAAGAGACUUGUCUUCUUCCAUUCCCAGCCUAUUUUCAUGCACCAUUUGCAAGCAAGAGGCUGAAUGGUUUGCAAAAAUAAGGACGUUGUCCCGUUAAACCAAAAGAACUAAACUGGAUGAAUAUUGUAGGAGAAAUCUAGAGGAAAGUUUUGAUUUGUGAAAUUUGUUUUCCUGAAAAAUCAUUCAUUCUGCAGAAAGGAUUUAUAACUGUCCACCACCAAGUGACGAGCUAAUGUUGAGCUUCACAGAUGGAAUUACUCAAACACCAUCAAUGCCUGUGUUUUCAGCAC
rnacentral:lncRNA from 1 species